rnacentral:rRNA from 1 species
UUGGCGGCGUGGAAUUAGGCAUGCAAGUCGCGCGGGAUCUUGGUGAUUGAAGCUUCGGCUGAUUGACCCAAGUGAGAGCGGCGAAAGGGAGAGUAACGCGUAGAUACGUACCCCGAGACCCGGGAUAGCGUCGGGAAACUGGCGGUAAUACCGGAUAAUGUCUCCGGACCAAAGGUGUGAUUCCGUCUUGGGAGCGGUCUGCGUCCUAUUAGGUUGUUGGUGGGGUAAUGGCCUACCAAGCCGAAGAUGGGUAGCGGGUGUGAGAGCAUGACCCGUCUCACUGGGACUGAGACACUGCCCAGACACCUACGGGUGGCUGCAGUCGAGAAUCUUCCGCAAUGGACGAAAGUCUGACGGAGCGACGCCGCGUGCGGGAUGAAGGCCUUCGGGUUGUAAACCGCUGUCAGUUGGGAGGAAAUGCAUGGUGGCUAUCCAUCAUGCUUGACCGAUCUUCAGAGGAAGUCCGGGCUAAGUUCGUGCCAGCAGCCGCGGUAACACGAACCGGACGAACGUUAUUCGGAAUUACUGGGCUUAAAGAGUCCGUAGGCGGCUUGGUAGGUGAGGUGUGAAAUCCCACGGCUUAACCGUGGAAUUGCGCUUCAAACCACCAGGCUUGAGGGAGAUAGAGGAAAGCGGAACAGAUGGUGGAGCGGUGAAAUGCGUUGAUAUCAUCUGGAACACCGGUGGCGAAGGCGGCUUUCUGGGUCUCUUCUGACGCUGAGG